CUUGCUCCACCGGAAAAAGAAGAGUGGCGAACGGGUGAGUAACACGUGGGUAACCUGCCCAUCAGAAGGGGAUAACACUUGGAAACAGGUGCUAAUACCGUAUAACAAUCGAAACCGCAUGGUUUUGAUUUGAAAGGCGCUUUCGGGUGUCGCUGAUGGAUGGACCCGCGGUGCAUUAGCUAGUUGGUGAGGUAACGGCUCACCAAGGCCACGAUGCAUAGCCGACCUGAGAGGGUGAUCGGCCACAUUGGGACUGAGACACGGCCCAAACUCCUACGGGAGGCAGCAGUAGGGAAUCUUCGGCAAUGGACGAAAGUCUGACCGAGCAACGCCGCGUGAGUGAAGAAGGUUUUCGGAUCGUAAAACUCUGUUGUUAGAGAAGAACAAGGAUGAGAGUAACUGUUCAUCCCUUGACGGUAUCUAACCAGAAAGCCACGGCUAACUACGUGCCAGCAGCCGCGGUAAUACGUAGGUGGCAAGCGUUGUCCGGAUUUAUUGGGCGUAAAGCGAGCGCAGGCGGUUUCUUAAGUCUGAUGUGAAAGCCCCCGGCUCAACCGGGGAGGGUCAUUGGAAACUGGGAGACUUGAGUGCAGAAGAGGAGAGUGGAAUUCCAUGUGUAGCGGUGAAAUGCGUAGAUAUAUGGAGGAACACCAGUGGCGAAGGCGGCUCUCUGGUCUGUAACUGACGCUGAGGCUCGAAAGCGUGGGGAGCAAACAGGAUUAGAUACCCUGGUAGUCCACGCCGUAAACGAUGAGUGCUAAGUGUUGGAGGGUUUCCGCCCUUCAGUGCUGCAGCUAACGCAUUAAGCACUCCGCCUGGGGAGUACGACCGCAAGGUUGAAACUCAAAGGAAUUGACGGGGGCCCGCACAAGCGGUGGAGCAUGUGGUUUAAUUCGAAGCAACGCGAAGAACCUUACCAGGUCUUGACAUCCUUUGACCACUCUAGAGAUAGAGCUUCCCCUUCGGGGGCAAAGUGACAGGUGGUGCAUGGUUGUCGUCAGCUCGUGUCGUGAGAUGUUGGGUUAAGUCCCGCAACGAGCGCAACCCUUAUUGUUAGUUGCCAUCAUUCAGUUGGGCACUCUAGCAAGACUGCCGGUGACAAACCGGAGGAAGGUGGGGAUGACGUCAAAUCAUCAUGCCCCUUAUGACCUGGGCUACACACGUGCUACAAUGGGAAGUACAACGAGUCGCGAAGUCGCGAGGCUAAGCUAAUCUCUUAAAGCUUCUCUCAGUUCGGAUUGUAGGCUGCAACUCGCCUACAUGAAGCCGGAAUCGCUAGUAAUCGCGGAUCAGCACGCCGCGGUGAAUACGUUCCCGGGCCUUGUACACACCGCCCGUCACACCACGAGAGUUUUAACACCCGAAGUCGGUGA
rnacentral:rRNA from 1 species